UCUCUCUAGAAAUGUUUGUGAAAUGAAUGAAUUGGUUCUCCUAACACAACCCUAGUGUUAUCUCUACUAAUGGGCUUAACUUAGUUUCUAGUGGGCUUAACUCAUUUCUAUUUAAACCAAAAAUAUUACUACACUCCAAACGAUAUUUUAAUUAAUAACGGUAAAAUGUAAUCAACGGUCACCAACGGUAAAAACUAAUCACUACACUAGUAACUUAGUAAAAUAAGGGUUCUCACUAAUUAUUAAAAUAAUUCUCACCAAAAUUACCAUUUUACCCUUACCCGACAAAUGACUAAAAUACCCUUCUAAUACGGUAAUCCACGUAAAUGCACCCAAUGAUGAUUAAUCACACAUAAACAUAUAAAACACAUAAUAAAAAUAAUUAAAAUAAAUCUAGCUAAAAAUCGGGCUGUUACAGGUUGGAUAUGGCAAGACUAUUUAUAUAUUCGGGUCGGGUCGGACCAACCCAUUUGACACCUCUAUGUUGCAGCUAACUUUCUAAAUAAGAGACAAUGACUUUGUUGCCUUCUAUGAAACCCCCCUUGACAUGUAAUCUAUUUUCUUAACGGACGUCGUUGGCGUUGAGUUCAUUUGACACACACUACUGAAGCAAGUGCUGGUGUGUGAAGGCAUAAACUAAUAUGGUCAUAACUCAUAACAGAUAUCACCAUUACAAGAAGCUGUAAAAAAAAAACAAAAAAAAGACUAAACUACAGUUUUGGCCCCCUAAGUUUACCAAUGUUGCAAUUUUGGUCCCCUGAUAAAAAAAAUAAAAAUUUGGCCCCCUAAGAUUUAGCCCCUUUGCAAUUGUGAUCUUUUGGCCAAUUUUGACCAAGUCAACGCUUAUUUGGCAUGCCACGUGUGUAAUUAACAAUUUUAAAAAAAAAAUAUGUCACAUAUUAAAUUGUUGAAUUAAAAAAAUGAAAAAGGAAAGGAAGAAGAAGAGGCACACGUUCAUCAAUCCAGCAACAUCAUCAUUAAUCUCCUUCAUCUUCUUCUCAACCAAAAUCUAUAAAAUCCAGAAAAUACAACAUGAAUCUCUUCAACAACAACAACAAUCUCGUCAACAACAACAACAAUCUUCAUAAAAAAAUCCAGAAAAUCAUCUCAAAAUCCCAAAUUGUUUCUAUUCGAUUUGCAAUAGCUAUUCCGACCUGGAUCAAUAAAAUAUCUCUUUUAAUUUAAUAAUCCAAGUAUGCAUAUUUCGUUCAUCAAAAUCAUUGAAGAACAAAACACCAAAAAACAUGAAGAAAAACCUGUUUCAGGAGGACAUGCAGCUACUAGAAAGAAGCUACAAACCGAAGCAAUUUCAAGAAUACUUACUAUUUUAACAGUAUUCAGCAAAAACCGUUCUCUCCCAGCACCUUCCCUCUCCUUCCGUUCUCUCCCACCACCACAAUUCCUCCCUCCAUCAUUGUUGAAACUUCAACUGUAACGGAAAAUGCUACGAAUGAAACUUAAGAUUACAGGUUGCAAGAGGAUGAGAGAGCUUCGAUCUGUACAGAAGGAUGAAAGAGCAUCGAGAAAACGGAUAGAAAUCAAGCAAAAUCGACGAAAACAACGCCACCGGAGCUUCACCGGAAAAAGCGGGUGAGGAAAGAGAAGAGAGCAUGAGAGUUUGUGAUGAAGGAGUUAUGGAUUUUUAGGUUCAAUUUGUGGAAAGAUGAUUUUGAGGAUUUUAGGUAACACAAUCACUAUUGAUUUUGGAUUUAGGAGAAGAAUUGAAGAACGGUGAUGGUUCUUCUUCUCCCAAAGGUUUCAAAACAAAUCACCAACGUGCCAUCAUUUUUCAAUUCCUUUUUUC
rnacentral:lncRNA from 1 species